UAGGGAAUCUUCCGCAAUGGGCGAAAGCCUGACGGAGCAACGCCGCGUGAGUGAUGAAGGUCUUCGGAUCGUAAAACUCUGUUAUUAGGGAAGAACAAAUGUGUAAGUAACUAUGCACGUCUUGACGGUACCUAAUCAGAAAGCCACGGCUAACUACGUGCCAGCAGCCGCGGUAAUACGUAGGUGGCAAGCGUUAUCCGGAAUUAUUGGGCGUAAAGCGCGCGUAGGCGGUUUUUUAAGUCUGAUGUGAAAGCCCACGGCUCAACCGUGGAGGGUCAUUGGAAACUGGAAAGCUUGAGUGCGGAAGAGGAAAGUGGAAUUCCAUGUGUAGCGGUGAAAUGCGCAGAGAUAUGGAGGAACACCAGUGGCGAAGGCGACUUUCUGGUCUGUAACUGACGCUGAUGUGCGAAAGCGUGGGGAUCAAACAGG
rnacentral:rRNA from 1 species